rnacentral:tRNA from 1 species
GCCACUGGAUAGCUCAGUUGGGAGAGCAUCGGACUGUUAAUCCGAGUGUCGCGGGUUCGAUUCCCGCUCCACUGCU